rnacentral:rRNA from 1 species
UACGUAGGGUGCAAGCGUUAUCCGGAAUUAUUGGGCGUAAAGAGCUCGUAGGCGGUUUGUCGCGUCUGCUGUGAAAAACUCGGGGCUUAACUCCGGGCCUGCAGUGGGUACGGGCAGACUAGAGUGCGGUAGGGGGAGACUGGAAUUCCCGGUGUAGCGGUGAAAUGCGCAGAUAUCGGGAGGAACACCUAUGGCGAAGGCAGCUCGCUGGGACGUUACUGACGCUGAGACGCGAAAGCGUGGGGAGCAAACAGG